GAAGUCUGUGCAUGCAUAUCCCACGUGACUUCCAAUAUUUUCAUCCUUGGACCAAAUUCUGGCUGAGGGCAGAGGGAGUUUUGCGAGGGUGAUGUUUGGGCGUUGGAGUUGCUGAGCAAAGCACCGGAUUUUGUUGGAAACUGUGUGUGCUGUGGUUUAGGACUAAAGCCACAGCUGAUCAUCUGAUUUUGAAAGGGAAGAGAAGAAUAUGGACUUUGAACAUGAGUCUGCAAUAACUGUUAAGAGAUAAUUAGCACAAUCACAG